GUGAGGAUCAGGGUGGGGCUGAGUCAGUGAGCAACACAUCAGUCAUCAAGUUCAGUGACAGAAGAAACCCGGAGGACAUUAGUGAUGGACAGAGGCCGUGGGACUGGAAGGAAUCAGGGAAGCAGCACAGCUUCUCCUGGGCUAUAAGUCUUCCAACUGUCCCCUCCCAUCUCCUUCCCUUACCCCUCACAUUAGUAGGAGGAGUGUUAGAUAGCAAGGUGUGUCCCUGUUAGGCAUGGAAGACCAGCACAUGGUCCUCUCUGAUUCACUUGGCUCUGGAUCCUAGAUGGCAUCAAGUUAUACUGGAGAGAUUGUGGGAAGGAGGACUGUGUCCUGUCCCUAUUUCUGCACUUCUGGAGCUGAGCUGGCUUUUCUGAUCAUGACAGUUGGUCUUAGUGCCCAGUUCUCAUGGCUACCUUACUGAUUGCCUCUAAAACUUGCAACGUGGGAAGAGAAUUGCUUUAUCUUCCAACUACUACCUUCCUUUUUCUGCAUCUGAUAUGCCCCUGAAGCAAUGCAUCCUGGGACUGCUACUUCUGGUCACACACUUUCUAGCUCUUCUUCUACAAGUAGUA